CACUCGCCGCUCUGUUCGUUGACCACUCCUACCUGUGGAUCUCAAAAUUACAGUGACUAGACUUGCUGCUCUCAGUAGCAGGCAGAACUUUACGGACUGCUGAGGUUACUGUUCAGGUAGUCGUCUGUUAUUAGAAAUAGAUUUUCAUCCCUGUGUGAGCUUGCGAGAGAGUUCAACGCUCCUGCGGUAUGCGCCGAAGAAUUUGUAAUUUUCCGAGCACGAAUUGAAUCACCGAACUGGAAAAAUAAGUGAGAAAUUUCCAAUUAUAUCUUAUGCUUUGGCAGUAGCACUUUGGAUAUAAACUGUUUGUUUGCACUUUGAUGUACUUCUUGUUACCUUUAUUACAACAUUAAGGCAUGACUAUUUAACUGGAACACUGUUAAUUUUGUUACAUUUUAAGGAAUCAGAGGCCCGUUCCUUAUUCUGCACUAUUUUUAAAGAAUUCUGAAACUAUUCAGCUAAAAUAUUUCACAUAAAAGAAAUAUUUUCUUAUAUAUUUGCUUUACAGGCUUCGGAAAACCGAUAAAGUGAUAAGAAAAUACAGCUAGAGAAAAAUGAUGUUAAAGUUCACUAUUUUAAGGGAGUGGUAUGAACGGUGCAGGUUUAGUUUCCGAGUUUAAAGAAAAUCUGGAUAUAAUGAACAGAAAUUUGUUGAAACUUUAUAAUGCAUGUAAGCAGUAAUAGCAUGCUGCAACCGAAGCAUGAUCUCAAGAAGUAUAAAAGCUGAUAAGUGAGCGAUUCUAAAAGCAUGAUUCGAAUAUUCAGUGUAGCCAAACAUAAACCUGAAUUUCCACAAGAAGAUGUACCACGUGCUGGGUAUAUUAGCAGCUCUGUUCAGGAUAAUCUGCAUAAUAAUUCCUCUGAAAGCUUUGCAUCUGAACUGUGAAUACGGUGGAUGAAAGAAUAUAAAAAGGACCUAUGCUCAUCUAUUGUUUCGCGAAAAAAAAAUAUAUCUCAGAGGAAAAUGUUUUUAUACCUUCGGAAGAAUGGUCUCAUUUUAUUCUCUGAGUUAAUCAAAAUUUCUAUGUAGUCUGAAGAAAUAAGGGCAGCAUGUGCUCUUUUAGUCUAUUAAUUCAUAUUAUAAGUAAAUGAGUUUAAGUGGUACUAAUCUUUAAUAAAUAAAUAU